rnacentral:rRNA from 1 species
AUGGCGGACGAGGCUAAGGUGCCCACUGACGCGAUGUCAUCCGUGACGAAGGCGGCGCCGGUGACGGCCGACCGGCCGGUCCGGGCAGACCUGGAGACGCUCGUUCCCAAGCCCUAUCUGGCACGAGCUCUGAUUGCGCCCGACGUGAACCAUCCCGAAGGAACCAAGGAGGGGCCGCACGAGCACCGGCAGAGGAGCGUGCUGCAGCAGCAUGUGGCCUUCUUCGACCUCGACGGCGACGGCGUCGUCUAUCCCUGGGAGACUUACGGAGGACUAAGGGCGUUGGGCUUCAACGUGGUCGCGUCCUUCAUCAUGGCAGUCGUCAUAAACGUUGGCCUAAGCUUUCCGACUCUGCCUGGCUGGAUACCAUCUCCCCUGUUCCCAGUCUACAUCAGCAACAUCCACAGGGCUAAGCAUGGCAGCGACACCUCAACGUACGACACGGAAGGAAGGUUCAUGCCGGUGAAUUUCGACAACAUAUUCAGCAAGAACGCGCGCACGGUGCCGGACAAGCUCACCUUCGGUGAGAUCUGGAGGAUGACCGAAGGCCAGCGGCUGGCGUUCGACUUACCUGGACGGAUGGCGAGUAAGCUGGAGUGGAUACUGUUGUACGUGCUCGCCAAAGGCGACGACGGGCUCCUUUCAAGGGAGGCAGUUCGUGGCUGCUUCGAUGGAAGCCUGUUCGAGUCCAUUGCCCAGAAAAGGAAGGAAGCAAACCAGAACAAGUAA